ACAGGAAGUGCCUACGGAGGCCGGGCAGGCAGCGGCGUCCGGGCAUGAAGCCGGGCGGCUACCGGAUCGCGGGCGGCGGCGGCAUCGCGGGCGGCGGCGGCGAUGAGCGACAUAGUGGAGAAGACGUUGACGGCGCUGCCGGGACUCUUUCUGCAGAACCAGCCAGGUGGUGGGCCCGCGGCCGCCAAGGCGUCCUUCUCCUCGAGGCUAGGCAGCCUCGUCCGCGGCAUCACCGCCCUCACCUCCAAGCACGAAGAAGAAAAAUUAAUCCAGCAGGAACUGAGUAGUCUGAAAGCAACUGUUUCUGCUCCUACUACAACACUGAAAAUGAUGAAGGAAUGUAUGGUGAGACUUAUAUAUUGUGAAAUGCUUGGAUAUGAUGCUUCCUUUGGCUAUAUUCAUGCAAUCAAGUUAGCCCAACAAGGAAACCUCUUAGAAAAAAGAGUAGGUUAUUUGGCUGUUUCCUUAUUUCUACAUGAAAGUCAUGAAUUAUUGCUUCUCCUUGUGAAUACAGUUGUAAAGGAUCUGCAGAGCACUAACCUAGUAGAAGUGUGUAUGGCACUGACUGUUGUUAGCCAGAUUUUCCCCCGAGAAAUGAUUCCAGCUGUUCUUCCAUUAAUAGAAGAUAAACUUCAACAUUCUAAGGAGAUUAUACGAAGAAAAGCUGUUCUGGCAUUAUACAAAUUCCAUCUCAUUGCUCCUAAUCAAGUACAACAUAUUCAUAUUAAGUUUCGGAAAGCACUUUGUGACAGAGAUGUUGGGGUCAUGGCUGCCUCCUUGCAUAUAUAUCUUAGAAUGAUUAAGGAGAAUUCGUCUGGAUAUAAAGACUUGACUGGGAGUUUUGUAACCAUUUUGAAGCAAGUAGUUGGAGGAAAACUCCCAGUAGAUUUCAAUUACCACAGUGUCCCAGCACCAUGGUUACAAAUUCAGCUCUUGAGAAUACUAGGACUUCUAGGAAAAGAUGAUCAAAGGACAAGUGAAUUAAUGUAUGAUGUUCUUGAUGAAUCCUUACGAAGAGCCGAGUUAAAUCACAAUGUCACAUAUGCUAUUUUGUUUGAAUGCGUGCAUACAGUUUAUUCUAUUUAUCCUAAAUCGGAAUUACUUGAGAAGGCUGCCAAGUGCAUUGGAAAAUUUGUUCUGUCACCUAAAAUAAAUCUAAAAUAUUUAGGACUGAAGGCUCUUACCUAUGUUAUCCAACAGGAUCCUACUCUGGCUCUUCAACACCAGAUGACAAUAAUUGAAUGUUUAGAUCAUCCUGAUCCCAUUAUUAAAAGAGAGACUCUGGAACUUCUUUACAGAAUUACUAAUGCACAGAAUGUAACAGUUAUUGUCCAGAAAAUGCUUGAAUAUUUACAUCAGAGCAAAGAAGAGUAUGUCAUCGUCAAUUUGGUCGGCAAAAUAGCAGAGCUGGCUGAGAAAUAUGCUCCUGAUAAUGCGUGGUUUAUUCAGACAAUGAAUGCUGUGUUUUCAGUAGGAGGAGAUGUAAUGCAUCCUGAUAUUCCCAAUAACUUUCUGAGACUACUAGCAGAAGGUUUUGAUGAUGAAACAGAAGAUCAGCAAUUAAGACUCUAUGCAGUUCAGUCUUACCUCACUUUACUAGAUAUGGAAAAUGUGUUCUAUCCACAGAGAUUUCUUCAAGUUAUGAGUUGGGUAUUAGGGGAAUAUUCCUACCUCUUAGAUAAGGAAACGCCAGCAGAAGUUAUAGCUAAGCUCUACAAGUUACUUAUGAAUGACUCUGUGUCUUCAGAAACAAAAACCUGGUUAAUUGCUGCUGUGACCAAAUUGACACCUCAGGCACACUCUUCUGAUACAGUUGAGAGAUUAAUCCAUGAAUUUACCAUAUCUUUGGAUACUUGUAUGAGACAACAUGCAUUUGAAUUAAAACAUUUGCAUGAGAAUGUGGAACUUAUGACGAGCUUGCUUCCAGUUGACAGGAGUUGUGAAGACUUGGCGGUAGAUGCUUCUUUAUCUUUUCUGGAUGGUUUUGUGGCUGAAGGACUCAGUCAGGGUGCAGCACCUUACAAACCUCACCAUCAACGCCAGGAGGAAAAGCUUUCUCAGGAAAAAGUUCUCAAUUUUGAACCGUAUGGACUCUCCUUUUCUUCAUCUGGCUUCACUGGACGACAGUCUCCUGCUGGCAUUUCUCUUGGUUCAGAUAUAUCUGGGAAUAGUGCUGAGACAGGACUGAAAGAGACAAAUAGCUUGAAGCUAGAAGGUAUAAAGAAAUUGUGGGGGAAAGAAGGCUAUCUUCCCAAGAAGGAAAGCAAAACUGGUGAUGAAAGUGGAGCUCUGCCUAUUCCUCAAGAGAGUAUAAUGGAGAAUGUAGAUCAAACUAUAACAAAAAAGGAUCAAUCUCAAGUUCUUACCCAAUCUAAAGAGGAGAAAGAAAAGCAGCUGCUGGCAUCAUCAUUAUUUGUUGGGCUAGGAUCAGAAAGUACAGUCAACCUGCUGGGAAAAGCAGAUACUGUCUCUCACAAGUUCAGAAGGAAAUCAAAAAUCAAGGAAGCUAAAAGUGGUGAAGCAUCCAGUACUCAUAAUAUGACCUGUUCUUCCUUUAGUUCUUUGUCAAAUGUGGCAUAUGAAGAUGACUAUUACUUGAAUACUUUGCACGAUAGAGGAGACAAAGAAUUAAAGACAUUUUCUCUCAAUUCAGAACUUUUGGAUUCUGAGUCACUCACAGAACUGCCCUUGGUUGAGAAAUUCUCAAAUUGCAGUCUGUCUACACCUUCAUUGUUUGCUGAUAACAGCAUGGAAAUUUUUCACCCUCCUCAAUCUAUUGCAGCCUCAGUUGCCAAGGAAAGCUCUUUAGCUUCAUCUUUUUUGGAAGAAACUACUGAAUACAUACACUCAAAUGCUAUGGAAGUCUGUAAUAAUGAAACCAUAUCAGUGUCUUCUUAUAAAAUUUGGAAAGAUGAUUGUUUAUUGAUGGUCUGGUCAGUCACUAAUAAGAGUGGUUUGGAAUUGAAAAGUGCUAACUUAGAAAUUUUUCCUGCAGAAAAUUUCAAGGUCACUGAGCAACCUGGAUGCUGUUUGCCUAUAAUGGAAGCAGAAAGCACCAAAAGCUUUCAAUAUAGUGUGCAGAUAGAAAAACCUUUUACAGAAGGAAUUCUUUCUGGUUUUAUUAGGUAUCAUAUGAUGGAUACUCAUUCUGCUCAGCUGGAAUUUUCUGUAAACUUAUCACUGUUAGAUUUCAUUAGACCGUUAAAAAUCUCAAGUGAAGACUUUGGGAAACUCUGGUUAUCCUUCGCCAAUGAUGUGAAACAAAAUGUAAAAAUGUCAGAAUCUCAAGCUGCACUUCCUUCUGCACUAAAGACUCUGCAACAGAAACUAAGACUCCAUAUUAUUGAAAUUAUAGGCAAUGAAGGGCUAUUGGCCUGUCAGCUGCUCCCAUCCAUCCCCUGCUUACUGCAUUGCCGAGUUUAUGCAGAUGUAUUAGCCCUGUGGUUCAGAUCUUCCUGCUCUACUCUUCCUGACUAUUUACUAUAUCAGUGUCAAAAGGUGAUAGAGGGAUCCUAGCAGAAGCUCUGCUAAAUUUUACUCCAUCAAGAUCAAUGGUUUACAUAGAUAAACUUAUUUACCAAAGUCAAAAGAACUCAUGGUUGCUGGAUGGAGAGAAUCCAGUUAUAAAGUUUCCAAAAAGGAGACAAUGGAGCUACUGGCUGGAAGAAACCUGAGUCUCUGAAUGGAGCAGUUCCUUUCCCUCUUGACCUCCCUGGACUGUAACCUGAAUUAAAAACAAGUCUUUGUUGUGUUAAGCCACUGCGAUUUGGGGGUUUGUUGCAUCAGCUAGAACUACCCUGACUAAUGCAUCUGCUUAGACCCAUCAUUUUCAAUAUGUUAGCCACUAGCCACAUGUCGGAACUGAGCACUUGAAAUGUGGCUAGUCAGAAUUGAGAUGUGCUCUAACUAUAGAACAAGUGGAUUU